UUUGAGAGUUUGAUCCUGGCUCAGGAUGAACGCUGGCGGCGUGGAUAAGGCAUGCAAGUCGAGUGGGUUUAGACCCACGGCAAACGGGUUAGUAACGCGUAGGAACGUACCCUCGAGUCGUGAACAACCCGGAGAAAUCCGGGAUAAUACACGAUGUGCUCUAUGGAGCAAAGAUUUAUCGCUUGAGGAGCGGCCUGCGUCCUAUCAGCUUGUUGGUGAGGUAAUGGCUCACCAAGGCUAUGACGGGUAGGGGGCGUGAGAGCGUGACCCCCAACAUUGGAACUGAGACACUGUCCAAACUCCUACGGGAGGCUGCAGUCGAGAAUAUUCCACAAUGGGCGAAAGCCUGAUGGAGCGACGCCGCGUGCAGGAUGAAGGCCUUCGGGUUGUAAACUGCUUUUAUAUGGGAAGAAUUUUUGACGGUACCAUAUGAAUAAGAGGUUACUAACUCUGUGCCAGCAGUAGCGGUAAUACAGAGACCUCAAGCGUUAUCCGGAUUUAUUGGGCGUAAAGAGCGAGCAGGCGGACAUAUUAGUCAGAUGUCAAAUCUCUGAGCUUAACUCGGAAACUGCAUUUGAAACGGUAUGUCUAGAGAAAGUGAGAGACCAAUGGAACUCAUGGUGUAGUAGUGAAAUGCGUUGAUAUCAUGAGGAACACCUAAGGCGAAGGCAUUUGGUUGGCACUUUUCUGACGCUGAGUCGCGAAAGCGUGGGUAGCGAAUGGGAUUAGAUACCCCAGUAGUCCACGCUGUAAACUUUGCAUACUAGAUGUGAGGAGUAUCGACCCUUCUCGUGUCGUAGCUAACGCGUUAAGUAUGCCGCCUGGGAAGUACGAGCGCAAGCUUAAAACUCAAAGGAAUAGACGGGGAUCCGCACAAGUGGUGGAGCAUGAGAAAUACAUAAGCCUUCGAGGGUGUAUAGCAGGCGCUGCAUGGUUGUCGUCAGCUCGUGCCGUAAGGUGUUCCGUUAAGUCGGGUAACGAGCGCAACCCCUGUCGUGUGUUAUAUAUUGCAGUCUGGGAGGAAGGAGGGGAUGACGUCAAAUCAGCAUGGCCCUUUGACGCCCUGGGCGACACACGUGCUACAAUGGCCGGUACAAUGGGUUGCCAAACCGCGAGGUGGAGCUAAUCCCAAAAAGCCGGUCUCAGUUCGGAUUGGAGUCUGCAACUCGACUCCAUGAAGCUGGAAUCACUAGUAAUCGGGAAUCAGCCACGUCCCGGUGAAUACGUUCUCGGAUCUUGUACUCACCGCCCGUCACACCAAGAGAGUCGGUAACACCCGAAGACCCCGCAUCAAACCGGGGGCUACGGUGGGAUCGAUGAUAAGGGUGAAGUCGUAACAAGGCAUCGGUAGCGGAAGCUGUCGAUGGAUCACCUCCUU
rnacentral:rRNA from 1 species